GAUGAAGAACGCAGCGAAAUGCGAUACGUAAUGUGAAUUGCAGAAUUCAGUGAAUCAUCGAAUCUUUGAACGCAUAUUGCGCUCUCUGGUAUUCCGGAGAGCAUGCUUGUUUGAGUAUCAGUAAACACCUCAACUCCCUUUUCUUUUUUGAAAUUGGAGCUGGACUUGAGUGAUCCCAACGCUUUCUUCCAAGAAAGUGGCGGGUUGCUUGAAAUGCAGAUGCAGCUGAACUUUUCUCUGAGCUAUAAGCAUAUCUAUUUAGUCUGCCUAAAAAACAGAUUAUUACCUUUGCUGCAGCUAACAUAAAGGAGACUAGUUCUUGUGCUGACUGAUGCAGGAUUCACAGAGACAGCUUCGGCUGACUUUGUAAACUCGAUCUCAAAUCAAGUAAGACUACCCGCUGAACUUAAGCAUAUCAAUAAGCGGAGGA
rnacentral:misc_RNA from 1 species